AAAGCUCAGUGGUAGAACAUCUGCCUUGCAUGCAGAAGGACCCAGGUUCAGUCACAGGAAUCUCCA